CUUAAGGCUCCUGCCCUGAGAAGAUGGGAAGAGAUUUUUGUAGUCAUGCUUAUCAAAUAGAUUAAUGGUGCCGUGAUCUGGACAGGGGUUGUUCAAUAUCCUCCCUGUAUAUGAAAUGGCUGCACAGUAAGCC